UACGUAGGGGCAAGCGUUGUCCGGAAUUAUUGGGCGUAAAGAGCGUGUAGGCGGCCAGAUAAGUCCGCUGUGAAAUCUCGAGGCUCAACUUCGAGCUGUCGGUGGAAACUAUCUGGCUAGAGUCCGGAAGAGGAGAAUGGAAUUCCUGGUGUAGCGGUGAAAUGCGCAGAUAUCAGGAAGAACACCCGUGGCGAAGGCGGUUCUCUGGGACGGUACUGACGCUGGAGACGCGAAAGCGUGGGGAGCGAACAGG
rnacentral:rRNA from 1 species